rnacentral:rRNA from 1 species
CCUACGGGUGGCUGCAGUGGGGAAUAUUGCACAAUGGGCGCAAGCCUGAUGCAGCCAUGCCGCGUGUGUGAAGAAGGCCUUCGGGUUGUAAAGCACUUUCAGCGGGGAGGAAGGCGUUAAGGUUAAUAACCUUGGCGAUUGACGUUACCCGCAGAAGAAGCACCGGCUAACUCCGUGCCAGCAGCCGCGGUAAUACGGAGGGUGCAAGCGUUAAUCGGAAUUACUGGGCGUAAAGCGCACGCAGGCGGUCUGUCAAGUCGGAUGUGAAAUCCCCGGGCUCAACCUGGGAACUGCAUUCGAAACUGGCAGGCUAGAGUCUUGUAGAAGGGGGUAGAAUUCCAGGUGUAGCGGUGAAAUGCGUAGAGAUCUGGAGGAAUACCGGUGGCGAAGGCGGCCCCCUGGACAAAGACUGACGCUCAGGUGCGAAAGCGUGGGGAGCAAACAGGAUUAGAUACCCGAGUAGUC